rnacentral:rRNA from 1 species
UACGUAGGGUGCAAGCGUUAAUCGGAAUUACUGGGCGUAAAGCGUGCGCAGGCGGUUCUAUAAGACAGAUGUGAAAUCCCCGGGCUCAACCUGGGAACUGCAUUUGUGACUGUAGAGCUGGAGUGCGGCAGAGGGGAUGGAAUUCCGCGUGUAGCAGUGAAAUGCGUAGAUAUGCGGAGGAACACCGAUGGCGAAGGCAAUCCCCUGGGCCUGCACUGACCGCUCAGUGCACGAAAGCGUGGGGAGC